GGAAGUAAAAGUCGUAACAAGGUUUCCGUAGGUGAACCUGCGGAAGGAUCAUUAAAGAGUUAGGGUCUUCUCGGCCCGACCUCCCAACCCCAUGUUUAUUACACCUGUGUUGCUUCGGCGGGCCCGUCUUCGUGACCGCCGGAGGAUCGUCGAAAGGCGUCCUCUGGCCCGCGCCCGCCGAUGGCCUACGCUUAAAAUUCUGAAUCAACCGUGUCUCAUGUCUAAGUCCUUCAUAAAAUAAAGCAAAACUUUCAACAACGGAUCUCUUGGUUCUGGCAUCGAUGAAGAACGCAGCGAAAUGCGAUAAGUAAUGCGAAUUGCAGAAUUCCAGUGAGUCAUCGAAUCUUUGAACGCACAUUGCGCCCUUUGGUAUUCCGAAGGGCAUGCCUGUUCGAGCGUCAUUAUCACCCCUCAGGCCCCCGGGCUUGGUGUUGGACGGCCUGGUCGAGUCCGCUCGACCCCUCCUAAAGACAAUGACGGCGGCCUCGCGGGACCCCCGGUACACUGAGCUUCUUAACUGAGCACGUACCGGACGCAUGGGUACCCAGGCUCCGGUCUUCUCCCUUCACAGGGAAACUUUCUCAAGGUUGACCUCGGAUCAGGUAGGAAUACCCGCUGAACUUAAGCAUAUCAAUAAGCGGAGGA
rnacentral:rRNA from 1 species